UCAGUGUAGCCCAGCACAUAUUUGUAUAUAUAUAUGUGUGUGUGUGUGUGUUUGUGUGUGUGUGUAUAUAUAUAUAUA
rnacentral:miRNA from 12 species